UAGGGAAUAUUGCUUAAUGGGCGAAAGCCUGAAGCAGCAACGCCGCGUGUGUGAAGAAGGCCUUCGGGUUGUAAAACACUUUUUGAGGGGAUGAGGAAGGACAGUACCCUCAGAAUAAGCCUCGGCUAACUACGUGCCAGCAGCCGCGGUAAAACGUAGGAGGCGAGCGUUAUCCGGAUUUACUGGGCGUAAAGCGCGUGCAGGCGGCACGGCAAGUUGGAUGUGAAAGCUCCCGGCUUAACUGGGAGAGGUCGUUCAAAACUGCCGAGCUAGAGUGCGGGAGAGGGAGGUGGAAUUCCGGGUGUAGUGGUGAAAUGCGUAGAUAUCCGGAGGAACACCAGUGGCGAAAGCGGCCUCCUGGUCCGCAACUGACGCUCAGACGCGAAAGCUAGGGUAGCAAACGGGAUU
rnacentral:rRNA from 1 species